AACGAACGCUGGCGGCAUGCCUAACACAUGCAAGUCGAACGAGACCUUCGGGUCUAGUGGCGCACGGGUGCGUAACGCGUGGGAACCUGCCCUUAGGCUCGGAAUAACUCCCCGAAAGGGGUGCUAAUACCGGAUAAUGUCUUCGAACCAAAGAUUUAUCGCCUUUGGAUGGGCCCGCGUUGGAUUAGCUGGUUGGUAGGGUAAAAGCCUACCAAGGCGACGAUCCAUAGCUGGUCUGAGAGGAUGAUCAGCCACACUGGGACUGAGACACGGCCCAGACUCCUACGGGAGGCAGCAGUGGGGAAUAUUGGACAAUGGGCGAAAGCCUGAUCCAGCAAUGCCGCGUGAGUGAUGAAGGCCUUAGGGUUGUAAAGCUCUUUUACCCGGGAUGAUAAUGACAGUACCGGGAGAAUAAGCUCCGGCUAACUCCGUG
rnacentral:rRNA from 1 species